GUGUUGGUGGGUGUGGUAGCCCAGCCCUCCGAAGGCAGGGGUUGCUGGUUCGAUCCCAGCCGGGCGCGCCA
rnacentral:tRNA from 1 species